AUGGUUAUUCUUUUUCAAGCUGAUGCUGUUUGUGUUCCGUCAAAGCUCUUUAAGGGAAAGCAAUUCUUAAGGAAGUCUGGUGGAGGCCUAGCCGGUCACUUGGAAGAGACAAAACUCUAUGAAUUGGCAAGCAAAAUUUCUUAUUGGCCAAAGAUGUGGGAACGAGAUUUCAAGACUGUUGGAGGGUGUAAUACUUUGCAUUAUAAGACAUCAAAGUCCCCUGAGUAUGAGUGCCUUCGGUCACCUGGGUAUGGUUACAAGCAAAAGAGAAAAGGCUUGUAAAUCGUGUUAUAUAUGUGAAUACCUUAAGUCUUUGGGGAUAAUUUCCUGAUGGAAUUAGAAAACUUAGAGCUUCCAUCAACUGUGGAGGUGUAUGAAGGGAGCGUGUUGAGUUCUUGCAGAAGCUAGGAUUAAGACGAUUGAAUGAUAUUAAGAUACCCUUUAAUGCCUAGGCAUGUAGUGUAAGGAAAAAAUAUGAUAACCUGUGCUGGUAUUUGGAAAGGUUGGCAUUAGCAGGCCCAAACUUGGGAGUUAUUAAGAAUUAUCCACAAGUGUUGCACCUAGCGUUGGUAGUUGACUUAUGCCGCUGUUAGGUUCUUCGUGGCUAGACGUGGGAGAGAACAGGAUAUUGGGUAUGUUUUGCAAAAGUAUUCCUGAGCUUCUCGGAUUUAAGCUUGAAGGAACCAUGAUCACUUCUGUUGCUUAUCUUGUAAAGCAUUGGGCGUUAAUCCUAGAGAUAUCCGGCCCGAUGUGACACAGUAUCCAUACUUUUUAGGAUAGGGUAGGAACUAUGAUUACGCCCAGCUUGUUGAUAUUUGGUUUCUUUUGGGUUUGGCCAAGAAAAUAGUCAGCGAGAAUGGCUGGAGAACGAGGGCAUAUUUACUUUGGUUAAUGAUCUUUGAAGAGCCCUGUUAAGCUGAAUGUGGAUUUGCUUAGUUAGUUUUGGAAUUCAGUAACGAAUCACUGCCUUCCAUUAACUAGCACAGUAUCCGCAAAUUCUGGAUUGCCUUUGGGGAAAGCUAAGUUAUCUUCGCAGCAGUAUUCUUCAGCUUGA